rnacentral:tRNA from 1 species
AAAAAUUUAGUUAAUUAAUAACCCUAACUUGUCAAGUUAAAGUAACCUUAAAGGUAAUUUUUA